rnacentral:rRNA from 1 species
GAUGAACGCUGGCGGCGUGCCUAAUACAUGCAAGUCGAGCGAACGGACGAGAAGCUUGCUUCUCUGAUGUUAGCGGCGGACGGGUGAGUAACACGUGGAUAACCUACCUAUAAGACUGGGAUAACUUCGGGAAACCGGAGCUAAUACCGGAUAAUAUUUUGAACCGCAUGGUUCAAAAGUGAAAGACGGUCUUGCUGUCACUUAUAGAUGGAUCCGCGCUGCAUUAGCUAGUUGGUAAGGUAACGGCUUACCAAGGCAACGAUGCAUAGCCGACCUGGGAGGGUGAUCGGCCCCACUGGAACUGCGACACGGACCAGACUCCUGCGGGAGGCAGCAGUAGGGAAUCUUCCGCAAUGGGCGAAAGCCUAACGGAGCAACGCCGCGUGAGUGAUGAAGGUCUUCGGAUCGUAAAACUCUGUUAUUAGGGAAGAACAUAUGUGUAAGUAACUGUGCACAUCUUGACGGUACCUAAUCAGAAAGCCACGGCUAACUACGUG